AGGAGGACGGGAGGCACCCCCGGUCCAGCAGGCAGCGGGCGGUCCCCCGGGCCCACCCAGCACUCCAAGGCCAGCCAGCUCGGCUCCAGCAGGGCGGGCCCCACAUCCGCCUGCCCCACCUGCAAGCGUCAGGGACCCCGACCCCGCGGCUCCUCCGGCCGCUCUUGGGAAAGGCAGAGGGCCUGGGGCAGCCAGCCUGGCCAAGCCUCGGUCCCCAGAGGGCCUGUCAGCUCUCACCCGAUAACCUGUCUGAGUCACUCCAUGACUGUCAUUCUGUCUCCUCUUCGCAAGUCGGCCUCGGCACCUCACGGCCCGUGGACAAACCUGGAAGCCCUUGCCUGGCCGUCGUUGGAGCCACGUGGCCCCAGGAGCGCCCGGGCUCAGCCCAGCCAAGACGUCCCCGAGCCUGGCUCAAGCUGCACACCGCCCACCUCCGCGUCCCCACACUCCCCCCCACCCCACCCCCGAGGGUGUCUUGCCCUGAGACCUGGGUGGGACCUCUCGUGUUCAGUGUCCAGAACUGGGCCUGGCUCACUGGGGAGAGAGCAAGGCGAACGCACGCAGACACACAGGCCUGACAAAGGCUCACAGCUGUUGACAGAAAGAGCCCGGGACACACCUAGAGGCGGCAGGAGAGACUUCACGCAGGCCCCUGCAGUGGGGAGAGACCCCACAAGGACUCCAGGGUUUAAAGGGAGAGCAGGAGUCUCCCGGUGGCUCAGCCAGUUAAGCAUCUGAGGCUGUCACUGCUGUGGCACAGUUUCGAUCCCUGGCUCAGAACUUCUUCAUGCCUCGAGUGCGGCCAAACAAUAAAUAAAUAAAGGGAUGACGUUUUCGUUGUGG
rnacentral:lncRNA from 1 species